rnacentral:rRNA from 1 species
GUGGGGAAUAUUGGGCAAUGGGCGAAAGCCUGACCCAGCGACGCCGCGUGAGGGAAGAAGGUCUUCGGAUUGUAAACCUCUUUCAGCAGGGAAGAAAAGAUGACGGUACCUGCAGAAGAAGUCACGGCUAACUACGUGCCAGCAGCCGCGGUAAUACGUAGGUGGCGAGCGUUAUCCGGAAUUACUGGGUGUAAAGGGUGUGUAGGCGGGAUUGCAAGUCAGGCGUGAAAUGGGAAGGCUCAACCAUCCAGCUGCGCUUGAAACUGUAAUUCUUGAGAGUGGGAGAGGUAAACGGAAUUCCUGGUGUAGUAGUGAAAUGCGUAGAUAUCAGGAGGAACACCGGUGGCGAAGGCGGUUUACUGGACCACAACUGACGCUGAGACACGAAAGCGUGGGGAGCAAACAGG